rnacentral:rRNA from 1 species
CCUACGGGUGGCUGCAGUAGGGAAUCUUCCACAAUGGGCGAAAGCCUGAUGGAGCAACGCCGCGUGGGUGAAGAAGGUCUUCGGAUCGUAAAACCCUGUUGUUAGAGAAGAAAGUGCGUGAGAGUAACUGUUCACGUUUCGACGGUAUCUAACCAGAUAGCCACGGCUAACUACGUGCCAGCAGCCGCGGUAAUACGUAGGUGGCAAGCGUUAUCCGGAUUGAUGGGGCGUAAAGGUAGCGCAGGCGGGCUGUUAAGUCUGAUGUGAAAGUCUUCGGCUUAACCGGAGUAGUGCAUUGGAGACUGGGAGACUUGAGUGCAGAAGAGGUGGGUGGAACUCCAUGUGUAGCGGUGAAAUGCGUAGAUAUAUGGAAGAACACCAGUGGCGAAGGCGGCUCUCUGGUCUGUAACUGACGCUGAGGUUCGAAAGCGUGGGUAGCAAACAGGAUUAGAUACCCCUGUAGUC